UUGGGCACUCUAAGGUGACUGCCGGCUAAAAGUCGGAGGAAGGUGGGGAUGACGUCAAAUCAUCAUGCCCCUUAUGACCUGGGCUACACACGUGCUACAAUGGGCGGUACAAAGGGUCGCGAACCCGCGAGGGGGGAGCCAAUCCCAAAAAAGCCGCUCUCAGUUCGGAUUGCAGGCUGCAACUCGCCUGCAUGAAGCCGGAAUCGCUAGUAAUCGCGGAUCAGCAUGCCGCGGUGAAUACGGUUCCCGGGUCCUU
rnacentral:rRNA from 1 species